rnacentral:rRNA from 1 species
UACGUAGGGAGCAAGCGUUGUCCGGAAUCAUUGGGCGUAAAGCGCGCGUAGGUGGCUUCGUAAGUCCGCUGUGAAAGUCAAAGGCUCAACCUUUGAAAGCCGGUGGAUACUGCGGGGCUAGAGUACGGAAGAGGCGAGUGGAAUUCCUGGUGUAGCGGUGGAAUGCGCAGAUAUCAGGAGGAACACCAAUGGCGAAGGCAGCUCGCUGGGACGGUACUGACGCUGAGACGCGAAAGCGUGGGGAGCAAACAGG